CUGCCAGACUCCUACGGGAGGCAGCAGUGGGGAAUAUUGCACAAUGGGGGAAACCCUGAUGCAGCAACGCCGCGUGAGUGAAGAAGUCUUUCGGUAUGUAAAGCUCUAUCAGCAGGGAAGAAGAUGACGGUACCUGAGUAAGAAGCCCCGGCUAACUACGUGCCAGCAGCCGCGGUAAUACGUAGGGGGCAAGCGUUAUCCGGAUUUACUGGGUGUAAAGGGAGCGUAGACGGUGAGACAAGUCUGAAGUGAAAGCCCGGGGCUCAACCCCGGGACUGCUUUGGAAACUGUGCAGCUAGAGUGCAGGAGAGGUAAGUGGAAUUCCUAGUGUAGCGGUGAAAUGCGUAGAUAUUAGGAGGAACACCAGUGGCGAAGGCGGCUUACUGGACUGUAACUGACGUUGAGGCUCGAAAGCGUGGGGAGCAAACAGGAUUAGAUACCCUGGUAC
rnacentral:rRNA from 1 species